UUUAAAUGAGAGUUUGAUCCUGGCUCAGGACGAACGCUGGCGGCGUGCCUAACACAUGCAAGUCGAGCGAAGCACCUAUGACAGA
rnacentral:rRNA from 1 species